rnacentral:lncRNA from 1 species
UCAGAUACUACAACCACAGCGAGGGUGCUAAGUGACCGCGGGCCUGAGUCAUCCCGGAUGCCCAGGUCCGAGGAACACCUCGAAGUGACCCUAGACCCGGAAAAGGCCCCUGAGGAGUCCUAGCCAGUUUCAUUUUCAGUUUAGGUAGCAAUCCCUUCGGCUGGGCCUGGUGGGGUGGGGUUAAGUGGGCAGGACUGACUGACGGGCGGGCCGGGCUCUCAAGACCUUCAGAGAAUGUCAGGCUGUGCUCUUUGAUCUGUCGCGCGCCUCUUCCGCGGUUAUGAUCAGGACGCCUAGGAUGGCAUGGAUUACAUCGCCCUGAGCUUCUGGGUUGCAGCAGACACCCCUGCUCAAACCACCUGGCCCAAGUGGGAAGCGGCAGAUGUGGCCAAACGCGCAAGACCCCGUGUGUGGAGUGGCACAACAGAAAAUGUGGGAAGAACAUGCUGCAAUGAGCAGGUACUACGAGCUGCGGGGUGUGGCCUCAACUGUUUCUAGAUCUCUCCGCAAGAAAAUAGAUACUUCCCACCUUCUGGAGGAAGGAGCCCUCUUAGUUUUCCAGAUGCUGUGCUAAAGAGUGAUUCUGAGGCCUGCCCUUCUCUCAAGAAAACUAAGAUAGGCUCUUCGUGGUUGGAGGGGAAACAGGACCCUGAAAUUACUGUAACCAACAGUUCUGGUUGACUCUGGCCUCAGCCUUGGGCCUCACAGGGCUACACAGUCUUCCUGUUGGGCUUUGUUCUCUGCCCCAAGCUGGUGUCUUUGGAGGUUUGACUCAAGUUUUUAUGAUUCUCUCUUAAUCCAUCGAGGUCGGAACUCCUAAACUCUCAGGUGCUUAGAUAAUCUUACUGUGGACUGUCCCAAACUCAUUAUAGAAUUUUCCAAGGAACAGAUUAUCCCAGAAGCAUGGGUCCAGGCUGGUUCUGGGUUUUAGGGCUGCUUCAGUGGCCCAGGAGAGGUAAUAACAGAUUGUCUGAAUUUUCCUCUUCUUCCUCUCAGACUCCCCCACAAAGACACAGGUGACUCACCACCCUACCCAUGAAGGAGAUGUCACCCUGAGGUCCUGGGCCCUGGUCUUCUACCCUAAAGAGAUCACCCUGAUCUGGCAGCGGGAUGGGGAGGACAAACUCAGGACAUGGAGCUUGUGGAGACCAGGCCUGCAGGGGAUGAAAAGUUUCAGAAGUGGGCAGCUGUAGUAAAGCCUUCUGGAGAGGAGAACAGAUACAUGUGCCUUGUGCAUCAUGAGCCCCUCACCCUGAGAUGGAGUAAGUAAGGGGAUGAGGGUGCUGGGCUGUUGAGAGCCACAGCCCAAGCGGCCCCAGCAAACUUCCAGCUGAUUGGCUCACCGUGGCCCUAGCAAACUUCCAGCUGCCAGCUGAUAGGCUCCUCUGCGGUGAUGCUCGUUGGUGUAGUUACACCUGAUCAAACUUUUACAUUUUGAGUACCCAAAUAAUCAGCUCAAAAGGUAGAGCUUAAUGCAGUAUUACAAGCUUUUGUGAUGUUUAAAGAUUCUGUAUUUAAUUUAUUUUCCGAUAGUCAGUAUAUAGUUAAUGCUAUAGUAUCCCUUGAAGCUGCUGGUAGGAUUUCCCCUUCCUCUACUGUUUUCUCUUUGUUUUCCACUAUACAAAGUCUAAUCUGGGACAGAAAAGAUCCAUUCUUUAUAAGACAUAUCAGGGCACAUACAGGAUUGCCUGGAGCCCUUAGUUUGGGCAAUGAUUUAGCAGAUAAAACUACACAUGACAUACAUAUUUUCUCUACACUAGAAGAAGCUACAAUUGUGAACAAACAGGACAUUUUAAAAGGAAUUGCCCCAUAGGAGGAGGAUUUAACAAAACUAGGUAUCAAAGGAGUAGAAUACCAGGUAUUUGCCCACGAUGCCAUAGAGGGAGACAUUGGGCUAAUGAAUGCCGCAGUCUGGCUGGGCAUAAUUCAGGAGCCACUUAUCAAGCAGAAACAAACUUUAUUUUUAGAACACACCCUGCACCACAGGAGCUCUUCAGGAAUUCCCUCAGAGCCCAACUGCUACCACCAGCUUACAGCAAGCCUCUCAAACCCCCACUCCUCCUGCUCUUGAGGCUGAUUGGCUGGGUCGCGUGGGCAGAGCCAAGAGUGCCCCAAUGAGCAGCUCCAUGGUCUGAAAGGGCGGGGAAACAGCUCAAUGAGCGUCACCCCAGAGGAGCCA